rnacentral:rRNA from 1 species
UCGUGGAGUAAUUUGUCAGGUUAAUUCCGCUAACGAACGAGAUUUUGCCUUAUUGAUUCGAGACCAAUACGCUGUAUCAGGUUUUGUUAGCAGGACUAUGUGUAGCCAACGCAAGGAAGCGCGAAGCAAUAAUA